GACGAAGGGUGCAAGCGUUAUCCGGAUUUAUUGGGCUUAAAGGGCGCGUAGGCGGUCUUAUAAGUCAGUUGUGAAAUCUCGCAGCUUAACUGCGAAACUGCCAUUGAUACUGUAGGACUUGAGUAUAGUUGAUGUGGGCGGAAUAUGACAUGUAGUGGUGAAAUACUUAGAGAUGGCAUAGAACACCGAUUGCGAAGGCAGCUCACAAAACUAUAACUGACACUGAGGCUCGAAAGUGCGGGGAGCAAACAGG
rnacentral:rRNA from 1 species